ACGCUGGCGGCAGGCUUAACACAUGCAAGUCGAACGGUAGCAGGAGAAAGCUUGCUUUCUUGCUGACGAGUGGCGGACGGGUGAGUAAUGCUUGGGAAUCUGGCUUAUGGAGGGGGAUAACGACGGGAAACUGUCGCUAAUACCGCGUAUUAUCGGAAGAUGAAAGUGCGGGACUGAGAGGCCGCAUGCCAUAGGAUGAGCCCAAGUGGGAUUAGGUAGUUGGUGGGGUAAAUGCCUACCAAGCCUGCGAUCUCUAGCUGGUCUGAGAGGAUGACCAGCCACACUGGAACUGAGACACGGUCCAGACUCCUACGGGAGGCAGCAGUGGGGAAUAUUGCGCAAUGGGGGGAACCCUGACGCAGCCAUGGCGCGUGAAUGAAGAAGGCCUUAGGGUUGUAAAGUUCUUUCGGUAUUGAGGAAGGUUGACGUGUUAAUAGCACAUCAAAUUGACGUUAAAUACAGAAGAAGCACCGGCUAACUCCGUGCCAGCAGCCGCGGUAAUACGGAGGGUGCGAGCGUUAAUCGGAAUAACUGGGCGUAAAGGGCACGCAGGCGGUUAUUUAAGUGAGGUGUGAAAGCCCUGGGCUUAACCUAGGAAUUGCAUUUCAGACUGGGUAACUAGAGUACCUUAGGGAGGGGUAGAAUUCCACGUGUAGCGGUGAAAUGCGUAGAGAUGUGGAGGAAUACCGAAGGCGAAGGCAGCCCCUUGGGAAUGUACUGACGCUCAUGUGCGAAAGCGUGGGGAGCAAACAGGAUUAGAUACCCUGGUAGUCCACGCUGUAAACGCUGUCGAUUUGGGGGUUGGGGUUUAACUCUGGCGCCCGUAGCUAACGUGAUAAAUCGACCGCCUGGGGAGUACGGCCGCAAGGUUAAAACUCAAAUGAAUUGACGGGGGCCCGCAC
rnacentral:rRNA from 1 species